UACAGAGGUCUCAAGCGUUGUUCGGAUUUAUUGGGCGUAAAGAGCGUGUAGGCGGCCAGGUAGGUGGGUUGUGAAAACUGGAGGCUCAACCUUCAGACGUCGACCCAAACCCCCUGGCUAGAGUCCGGAAGAGGAGAGUGGAAUUCCUGGUGUAGCGGUGAAAUGCGCAGAUAUCAGGAAGAACACCCGUGGCGAAGGCGGCUCUCUGGGACGGUACUGACGCUGAGACGCGAAAGCGUGGGGAGCGAACAGG
rnacentral:rRNA from 1 species